UACGUAGGGACCGAGCGUUGUCCGGAAUCAUUGGGCGUAAAGAGCGUGUAGGCGGCCACUUAAGUCCUGCGUGAAAUCUUGCGGCUCAACCGCAAGCGGUCGUGGGAAACUGGGUGGCUAGAGUGCGGGAGAGGAGAGUGGAAUUCCUGGUGUAGCGGUGGAAUGCGCAGAUAUCAGGAAGAACACCCGUGGCGAAGGCGGCUGUCUGGUCCGGUUCUGACGCUGAGGCGCGAAAGCGUGGGGAGCA
rnacentral:rRNA from 1 species